rnacentral:snRNA from 1 species
GUACUGGCCUGGCAAGGAAGAUGCUGUGAUCACGUGUGCUGAUGCUUAUCUAUUACAUCCUGGAUGUACCGAGCUGUGACAUUUCCCCACAUGUGAAAAACUUGGCUGUGUAACUAAUGGUAGUGGGAGACUGCAUCCAUGCUCUCUCCUA